rnacentral:rRNA from 1 species
CGGGGUGUGUGCUGGUGUGAGUCUUCCAUCCUUCUCGAAAGCCACGCCUGCUGUUCCCUCAGCUGGGCCUGUGCGAUCUAGAUCAUUUACUUUGAAAAAAUUAAAGUGUUUAAAGCAAGCUUAUGCCCGAAUACAUUAGCAUGGAAUAAUAAAAUAGGAGUUCGGUUCUAUUUUGUUGGUUUCUAGAAGUGAAGUAAUGAUUGAUAGGGAUAGUUGGGGGUGCUAGUAUUCAGUGACCAGAGGUGAAAUUCUUGGAUUCAGUGAAGACUAACUAAUGCCAAAGCCUUCACCAAGGAUGUCUUCUUUAAUCAAGAAGGAAAGGUGGGGGAUCGAAGACGAUCCGAUACUGUUGUAGUCUCAACCAUAAACUAUACAGAGUAAGGAUCAGUGGAAGUUUUAUUUUGACUCCAUUGGCACUUUAUGAGAAAUCAAAGUCUUGGGUUCCGGGGGGAGUAUGGUCGCAAGGCUGAAACUUAAAGGAAUUGACGGAAGGGCCCCACCAGGAGUGGAGCGUGCGGCUUAAUUUGACUCAACACGGGAAAACUCACCAGGUCCGGACAUAGUAAGGAUUGACAGAGAGAGAGCUCUUUCUUGAUUCUGUGGGUGGUGGUGCAUGGCCGUACUUAGUUGGUGGAGCGAUUUGUAAGGUUAAUUCCGAUAACGAACGAGACCUUAACCUUCGAACCAGUUGCAGGUACUUUUGUAUGGGCCACUUCUUAGAGGGACAGAGUACG